rnacentral:ribozyme from 1 species
UAUCCCUGGGAAGGUCUGGGCAAAGCCUGAAAGCGCUUUGGAGGCGGUGCAGCAGCUUGUGGGUGGCAGGGACCCAAUCAGAGAGAGGCCGGCGCCAUACGGCGACUGCCACCUCUUGGGUUACUGGGGCC